UCUGCCCAGCGCCCUGGGAUCCGGGGCCUGUGCUGCUGGAAUCGUGUUUCCGGGGCCAUGGCUCCUGAAGGCAGUGGGGUGUAGCCUCCACUCCUGGAGCUGCCGCCUAACCCACUGGCUUCUCCCUGAGGCCCUGCCAGGUGAGUGCUCCAGCCCUUUACCCCUUUGGGCCCACAGUCUGUGGUGCACUCUCCCCUGGGGUGUGCACUUCCUCUGUUAGUGACUCCAGGAGACUGGAGACUCCACUGCCCCUCCUGUGAUUCUGCUCAAUUUCCCUGCUUAGUUAGCCUGUCUGGGAAGAAUCCAGUGUGGAUUUUUAAAGUUCUGCUCUCCGAGGCUGGGCUUUCCUGUCCCAGAGGCUUUCACUGCCCAGCCUUAGCAUGGCUCCUCAGGGGCCCUCUCCCCCACUUGAUCCUUUAACAUCCCCCCCCCCCCUUCCUACCUUGUUAGAAGCAAAAACCUUUCUCUCUGUAGUGUUCCAGCUGUUCUCUCUUUAAAUCUCAGGUCAAAUUCGUAGGUGUUCAGGAUGGUUUGAAAGUUAUCUAGGUAAGUUGGUGGGGCUGGGUGAGUUAAGGACCCCUACUCCUCCACCAUCUUGCCCUGCCUCCCUAUAAGUAACACUUAAACCCAAUUGUUAAAGAUGGAAAUAAAGAGAUGUGCAAGAAGAUACCAUACAAAGAUCAAAAGAGGAAUGGCAAUAUUGAUAUCAGGUUAGUUGAAACUUUGGUUGAAAGCACUCAGCAUUAUUAUAGCAAACAUUAUGAAUUGGUAAAAUCUUGCAUUUAUGAAGGAGGAUAUGGUGGUGAAGAUGGGUAGUUACCAGAUCACUCUCUCAAGAAAAGAAUUAGAAAUGUGUGUGAAUUUUAAUGAAUUUCGGUCAAAGAACACUGCCUACCAAAGCCUAUAGAGCACAAUGCAAACUAUAUGUAAGGGAAAAAAUCUAUAGAAUUAAAUGUAUUCAAUAUUAAAACAAAUUUAAAAAAUUCUCCAUACCUGCAUAUUCAAUUGAAAAGAUUUUUAGCAAUUGAAAAAAAUUUUUUAGUAAGGGGCGGGGUAAGAUGGCAGAGGAGGAGUAGGGUCCCCAAGUCAUCUGUCCCUACCAACUUACCUAGAUAACUUUCAAAUCAUCCUGAAAACUUAUGAAUUUGACCUGAGAUUUAUUAAUUUAUUUUUUGUAAAGAUUUUAUUUAUUCACAAGAGACACAGAGAGAGAGACACAGAGACACAGGCAGAGGGAGAAGCAGGUGCAUGCAGGGAGCCUGACGUGGGACUCGAUCCUAGGUCCAGGAUCAGGCCCUGGGUUCAAGGUUGGCACUAAACCGCUGAGCCACCUGGGCUGCCCUCGACCUGAGAUUUAAAGAGAGAACAGCUGGAAUGCUACAGAGAGAAGAGUUUGAGCUUCUAACAAGUACAACUCGUUUUUAGUCACUCUGGACUGAGCAAAAUGACUAGAAAGAAGAACUUAACCACGAAAAAAUUUUUUAAAAGAAAUUGUAAGAUACACAUGCCAUAAGUUUUACCAUCUUGACCAUUUUUUAGUGUACUGUUCAGUAGUGUUAAGUACAUUCACAUUGUGCAAUCAAUUUCUAGAACUCCUUUUAUCUCCCCCAGCCUCUUGCAGCCACCAUUUACUUUUCAGUCUCUGAACUCGACUACGCAAAGUACCUCAUUUAGGUGGGAUCAUCUUACUACAUCUAGCUUAUUUCAUUUAGUAUAAUGUUCUCAAGGUUCAUCAAUGUAGUAUCAUAUUUCGGAAUAUUUUAAAAAAGAUUUUGAGAGAGAGCACAAAUCGGGGAGUGGGGGCAAGCUGACUUCCUGCUAAUCAGGGAGCCCUGUGUGGGGCUCAAUCCCAGAACCCUGGGAUCUUGACCUGAGGUGAAGGUAGACGCUUAACCAACUGAGCCACCCAGGUGCCCCUGGAAUUUAUUAUUAUUUUUUUAAGAAUUUCUUUUUAAGAUGGAAUAUUUCAUUAAAUGUUUUAGACAUACACCCUCCCCUGACAUUUGUUUAUCCUUUUAUCCCUUGAUGAGUACUUGGAUUGUGGCUAUUGUGAAUACUACUAAGAAUAUGAGUGUACAAAUAUCUCUUUAAGAUCCUGCCUUUAGUUCUUUUCUGGAAUUUUUAAAAUUCCAGCGGUGACAUUGUUGGGAGUAUUAAAAUCCUAUUUUUAAUUUUUUGAGGAAUCACCGUUUUGUGUUUUUCUUUUUUUUAAUUUAAGAUUUUAUUUAUUAGAGCCAGAGCCAGAGAGAGAGAGAGAGAGAGAGAAACAAGGAGAGAGACAGACAGGCAGAGGGAGAAGCAGGCUCCAUGCAGGGAGCCGGAUGCGGGACUUGAUCCUGGCUCUCCAGGAUCACGCCCUUGGCUGAAAGCGGCGCUAAACCGCUAAGGCACUGGGACUGCUCACCAUUCUGUUUUCUAUAUGUGCUGUACCAUUUUACAUUCCCUCCAGUAGUACACAAGCACUCCAAUUUCUCCACAUCCUGGCCAAUACUUUUGAUGGUAGCCAUCCUAAGAGUUUUGAGAUAUACUAUCUCAUUAUAGCUGUGAUUUCCAGUUUCCUAAUGAUUUGAUGAUGUUGAACAUAUUUUCAUGUGCUUAGUGAGUUUAUCUGGAGAAAUGUAUAUUCAAGUCCUGUGCUUUAUAUCCAAUUCUAAGCAUUUAGGAUACCUAUAAACUGAAAUAAACCUACAAGAAGGAAUUAAUAGUUAAAAGGUGAAAUUAAUGGAAAACACAAAGUAGAAAAGAUACAUAAAUCUAAAUCCCAGUUCUUUGAGAAGACUAACAAAAUGAAGAUCUCCUUCAUGAUACUGAUGAAAAAAGAAUAAAAGUAGUAGUGGAAACAAAAAAGAUGCAGUCACAUACACAGAAGAGUCUUAAUUGUAAGAAAAGAGUACUACAAGUUUAUUGUAACAAAAUCACAGAUUAAAGAUUUCAAAAUUAAGAGGAAUCAUUUUCUGGCUGAUUAGAAAUGAUCAGAAUCAACCUUUAGGAAGUGGAAAACUUGCAUACACCUUUGAGUAUAUAGAUUUGAUCAAAAUGAUUUUAAAGUAUAUGUGAAAGAAUAAAUGCCUGAAACAUGGUCAAGAACAGAAUCAAAAGGAUUGAAGAAGAGUUUGCCAUUUUUGUAUAAAAGCAUGUACUUUAUCUGUAUAGUUUUAGUGCUGGAAUAGUAAAAAACAGGUCAAAGGAAGACAGGUUUAGAUAGAAGCAUAUAUGAAAAUGUAGUAUAUAUCAGUGAUGGUGGUAUAACCACCCAUCUGGAAGAAAAUCAAAUUAGGUACUUAAAAAUAUUUUAAAAAUCUUAUGAGCAAAUUCUAGAUUGAAAAAUUACAUGUUAAAAGACAGCAGUUAUAUGGGAUGAUCUCAGAGACCUAUGUAUGAAGUAGGAUAAAAUAGGGAGAUCUUUUUAUUUUUUAAAAUUCCAGUUAACACAGUAUUCUGUUAGGGUUAGAUGUACAGUACAAGGAUGCAUAUAUCACCUAGUGCUCAUUGCAGCAGUGCAUGUCUUAAUCUGCAUUGCCUAUUUAACCCACCUUCCACCUCCCUUCUGGUAACCAUUAUUUCUCUAAUGUUAUGUGUCUGUGUCUUGGAUUGCCUUUCUCCCUUUUUUUUUCCCCUUUUUGCUCAUUUGUUUUGUUUCUUAAAUUCACCAUAUGAGUGAAAUCAUAUGGUAUUUGCCUCUUUUGCUUAGCAUUAUACUUUUUGUUGCAAAUGACAGGAUUUAAUUCUUUUUUUAUGGCUGAAUAAUAUUUCAUUAUGUAUAUAACUGCUUCAUGAAUUGAUGGACACUUGGGCUGUUUCUAGAAUUUGGCUAUUAUACAUAUUGCAGUAAACAUAGGGGUGCAUGUAUCCCUUUGAGUUAGUGGGGUUUUUUUUGUAUUCUUUGGUA
rnacentral:lncRNA from 1 species